rnacentral:rRNA from 1 species
GUGAGGAAUAUUGCGCAAUGGAGGCAACUCUGACGCAGCCAUGCCGCGUGCAGGAAGAAGGCGCUACGCGUUGUAAACUGCUUUUAACCGGGAAGAAACCCCAGGACGUGUCCUGGGUUGACGGUACCGGAGGAAUAAGCACCGGCUAACUUCGUGCCAGCAGCCGCGGUAAUACGAAGGGUGCAAGCGUUAUCCGGAUUCAUUGGGUUUAAAGGGUGCGUAGGAGGAGCGUUAAGUCAGUGGUGAAAUCCUGCAGCUUAACUGUAGACUUGCCAUUGAUACUGGCGCUCUUGAGUGCGCUUGAAGUGGGCGGAAUGUGCCGUGUAGCGGUGAAAUGCUUAGAUAUGGCACAGAACACCAAUUGCGAAGGCAGCUCACUAAGGCGAUACUGACGCUGAGGCACGAAAGCGUGGGGAUCGAACAGGAUUAGAUACCCUGGUAGUCC